AUGGCCUUGGACUCUAUGAGUGCCAAGGUGGAGGGUGGAAAUGAAAAACCUGAAGUCUGGCUCUGUGAUGGCCUUCUGCAUACCUGUGGGCAAGUCACUCCCACUGUCACGCUGCUCCGGAAGUCUCCCCAUGUCUACUCCAAGAGAACUACAGUUUGUGCCCUAAGUAUGUGCAUCUCUCUCUUCAUCCCUCCUAAUGACUUCUACCCCGAUACCUAACUUCAGAUUUCCAGUUAAUCUGAAUUCCUAUCUUGCCCCUUUGAACUCACAACC